CGAGCGGAAAGGCCCUUCGGGGUACUCGAGCGGCGAACGGGUGAGUAACACGUGAGCAACCUGCCCCAGGCUUUGGGAUAACCCCGGGAAACGGGGGCUAAUACCGAAUAUGACUUGGCCCCGCAUGGUGUUGGGUGGAAAGUUUUUCGGCUUGGGAUGGGCUCGCGGCCUAUCAGCUUGUUGGUGGGGUGAUGGCCUACCAAGGCGACGACGGGUAGCCGGCCUGAGAGGGCGACCGGCCACACUGGGACUGAGACACGGCCCAGACUCCUACGGGAGGCAGCAGUGGGGAAUAUUGCACAAUGGGCGGAAGCCUGAUGCAGCGACGCCGCGUGAGGGAUGACGGCCUUCGGGUUGUAAACCUCUUUCAGCAGGGACGAAGCGUAAGUGACGGUACCUGCAGAAGAAGCGCCGGCCAACUACGUGCCAGCAGCCGCGGUAAGACGUAGGGCGCGAGCGUUGUCCGGAUUUAUUGGGCGUAAAGAGCUCGUAGGCGGCUUGUCGCGUCGACCGUGAAAACCUGGGGCUCAACCCCAGGCCUGCGGUCGAUACGGGCAGGCUAGAGUUCGGUAGGGGAGACUGGAAUUCCUGGUGUAGCGGUGAAAUGCGCAGAUAUCAGGAGGAACACCGGUGGCGAAGGCGGGUCUCUGGGCCGAUACUGACGCUGAGGAGCGAAAGCGUGGGAGCGAACAGGAUUAGAUACCCUGGUAGUCCACGCUGUAAACGUUGGGCGCUAG
rnacentral:rRNA from 1 species